AGAGUUUGAUCCUGGCUCAGAUUGAACGCUGGCGGCAUGCUUUACACAUGCAAGUCGAACGGCAGCACGGGCUUCGGCCUGGUGGCGAGUGGCGAACGGGUGAGUAAUAUAUCGGAACGUACCCAGAAGUGGGGGAUAACGUAGCGAAAGUUACGCUAAUACCGCAUACGAUCUACGGAUGAAAGUGGGGGACCUUCGGGCCUCAUGCUUUUGGAGCGGCCGAUAUCUGAUUAGCUAGUUGGUGAGGUAAAGGCUCACCAAGGCGACGAUCAGUAGCUGGUCUGAGAGGACGACCAGCCACACUGGAACUGAGACACGGUCCAGACUCCUACGGGAGGCAGC
rnacentral:rRNA from 1 species